rnacentral:misc_RNA from 1 species
UAUACCAUGACGCAUGACGCACGUGGGGACAUACGUGACCGCGUGGCUCUUGUUGUGGUAGACGCCAUUAUUCACAUCCUGUGUAUGGGCUAUAUUGAUAUGGAAUUGUUACUUUCAAAAUUACAGUUUGUAAAAAAUUUAUAGACACUCAGAUCGCAUUUAAAAUUAAAUACAAUCAUGAGCGAAGAUGAAAAAGCUGAGGAUUACGAGUUUGAUGUUGACAAAAGAGCUCAUCACAAUGCACUGGAAAGAAAACGCCGUGAUCAUAUUAAAGAUAGUUUCAGCAGUUUGAGAGAAGCUUUACCAUCAUUCCAAAACGACAAAGUGCGGAUUAUGAACAGUUAACAGCAGAAAGCAAUAAAAAGCAAGAACACAGAGUACAACAAAGAAUGCUAAAACAGAGUUCAUUAAAAAAUAUGUGUAUAAAAAUGUAUAUUUUAUGUGUAAUAUGUAUGGAAGAAAAACAAUUAAAAAAUAUUUUUAUGUAUAUAAAAUAUUAUAUGUAUAAAAAUAUAUUUAAAUUUUUUUUUUCAGACGACAUGAACUAUUAACAAUCCAAAUUUAUUAUAAAUUAAUUCAAAGUCUUUAUUUAAUUAUAAUAAGUAUUCAUCACUUUUCUCAAUUGUUUUUUUUUAUUAAAAAAAAUAUUUGUUGAAUUCGUAUUAAUUUAAUCUGCUAAUGUUAUUUGGGUACUUUUUCUAUUUUGUCGGCAAAGGUGAUGAAGUCCUAAAUGCAGAGUGCAACUAUAUUUACCCGUUUUUUUUAUUUUUAAAGUAAAUAAAAUAGCCGAAAUUGCUUGUACGGCGAAAUGGAAAAGUACCGUUAUUAGAUAGGGCUGUUUUCAGAUUAUUUUAAUUAUUUAGCUGAAAACUACAAUUUUAAUUGAAUUUUUUCUGAACUUGUAAGUCAGGUUUACUGGUUAAUCAUUAUACAACUUUAUUCAUCAUUAACCUUAAAAAUUAUCAAAAAUGAAGAAAGGAUUUUUAAAUUAAAGGCAGGGAUAAAAAUUAAGAAAAGUUUAGUUACUGAUCUUUGGACCACUGAAUGAAGGAUUACUGUUUGCACAUGUGUCCAAACUGUGCAUUUUCAUUAGUUCACUUGUCUCUAUUAGA